UCCUGCCGGAGGAUGAACGCUAGCUACAGGCUUAACACAUGCAAGUCGAGGGGCAGCAUGAGAUUAGCUUGCUAAUCUUGAUGGCGACCGGCGCACGGGUGAGUAACGCGUAUCCAACCUUCCCUAUACUAGAGGAUAGCCCGGCGAAAGUCGGAUUAAUACUCUAUGUUCUUCGUAGAUGACAUCUGAAAUGAAGCAAAGAUUUAUCGGUAUAGGAUGGGGAUGCGUCUGAUUAGAUAGUAGGCGGGGUAACGGCCCACCUAGUCGACGAUCAGUAGGGGUUCUGAGAGGAAGGUCCCCCACAUUGGAACUGAGACACGGUCCAAACUCCUACGGGAGGCAGCAGUGAGGAAUAUUGGUCAAUGGACGAGAGUCUGAACCAGCCAAGUAGUAGCGUGCAGGAUGACGGCCCUAUGGGUUGUAAACUGCUUUUAUACAGGGAUAAAGUGAGGGACGUGUCCCUUUUUGUAGGUACUGUAUGAAUAAGGACCGGCUAAUUCCGUGCCAGCAGCCGCGGUAAUACGGAAGGUCCGGGCGUUAUCCGGAUUUAUUGGGUUUAAAGGGAGCGCAGGCUGAUGAUUAAGCGUGACGUGAAAUGUAGCCGCUCAACGGCUGAACUGCGUCGCGAACUGGUUAUCUUGAGUGAGUUCGAUGUUGGCGGAAUUCGUGGUGUAGCGGUGAAAUGCUUAGAUAUCACGAAGAACUCCGAUUGCGAAGGCAGCCAACAAGGCCUUUACUGACGCUAAAGCUCGAAGGUGCGGGUAUCGAACAGGAUUAGAUACCCUGGUAGUCCGCACGGUAA
rnacentral:rRNA from 1 species